UACGAAGGGGGCUAGCGUUGUUCGGAAUCACUGGGCGUAAAGCGCACGUAGGCGGAUCUUUUAAGUCAGGGGUGAAAUCCCGAGGCUCAACCUCGGAACUGCCUUUGAUACUGGGGAUCUCGAGUCCGGGAGAGGUGAGUGGAACUGCGAGUGUAGAGGUGAAAUUCGUAGAUAUUCGCAAGAACACCAGUGGCGAAGGCGGCUCACUGGCCCGGAACUGACGCUGAGGUGCGAAAGCGUGGGGAGCAACAGGG
rnacentral:rRNA from 1 species